GACAGAGGUCCCGAGCGUUAGGCGGAAUCACUGGGCUUAAAGCGUGUGUAGGCGGAUCGUUAAGUGCCUUGUGAAAUCCCAUGGCUUAACCAUGGAACUGCUUGGCAUACUGGCGGUCUUGAGCCACUUAGGGGCAACCGGAACAAAUAGUGGAGCGGUGAAAUGCGUAGAUAUCAUUUGGAACGCCAAUGGUGAAAACAGGUUGCUGGGAGUGUGCUGACGCUGAGACACGAAAGCCAGGGGAGCGAACGGG
rnacentral:rRNA from 1 species